rnacentral:ncRNA from 1 species
AGAGUAAAAAUGCGUUCGUCAAGUGACGGUUGAACGGGGAGUUGUCAACCGGACGAAAAGUCUUAAUGACUUGCGGUUCGCAUUUUGCAUCCCGCU